rnacentral:lncRNA from 1 species
UGUCAUUGGCCAACUUUUAUGGUUGUGUUUUAAGUUUUCAUUGAGUUGUGAUUGCAUUUCUAUAUUUUGUCUUCCAUUUUAGUUCCUUCUUACCUUCCAAUUCUUCUCUACCUUUUAAAUCUCGUUAGCAGAAGAAGGGUUUUUCUAAUAUGAUCUGCCACUUUCCUGUUAUUCUUUCUUUAGGCAAUUUGUGGUGAUGGAGAGCAGGCAAGUGGCCGGAAUUGCAACCGCAUCUCUCCUGGUGCUGACUUCUGGCUUGAUUUGGGAUUCUCGAGCGAUCAUCGGCGGCUAGAAGUGUAAGUUGAGAUAGGAAUGAUACCUUGCAGACUGGAGGUAGGAAACUGGUGUAAUUGAUGAUCGGCCAAAACAGAUCCAAAAGACUUGGAGCCAACAAAAGGCGUGUUGCUGACCUUUGAGUGCCCACUUGAGCAUAGAUCGAGUCCUUUUCAAAUAACGUACUCUUCUCCAAUCGAGAUGAGUUCUUUCCUUUCCACCUUGUUUGUAGCAUUGCAUCCUGCGUUUUCUUGUUAGUACUAAUUUCUUAUCAUGACGUGGAGUUGAUAUGUGCGAGAAUUAAUAAAUUGCUUACACUAUGUGGUGGUGUGAUACUUGAUUGUUUUCUCCAUUGCAGAUGGAUAAGAUGGUUAUCGUCGACAGCAAUAAUCGAUUCUUUUGAUGUGGGUGUUCGCACAAGGCGGUAAAUAGGUAGCCACAAAGUGUACUCCAUUUCCAUAAACAAUAAACAAACUCUCGACUUUAUGAUUAAAGGAUAAGGUGAGCAACCAACAAUGUCUUACUUUAUGGUUUGCAGAUAGAUAAAUAUUCGGUUUUUAUUUUAUUCCGUCUCGUGCAACUCAACUCAUUUUUAGUUGCACCGUUUGUUGUAUGGUCAAAUCGACUAACAGAAAUGAAGAUGAUUCUCAGGCUUGUUUGUUGUCCUGUUUUACUUGCAAUUCGGUUUCAUUUUUGGUUGCCUGGCAAAAGUAGUACAAGAACCUUAAGAAUUAAGACGAU